AUCCUUUAUAAACACAUUCUAUGAACACCUUCAGGAAUGCAUGGAUCAUGCAAUCCCAAAUAAAACCAAGACCCAAUCCUCCAAAGGCAGACGUCCUGUCUGGUGGACCCCAGCCAUAAACAAACUAUACAAUAGAAGGCGGAAGCUACU